rnacentral:ncRNA from 1 species
UAAUGCACAAUGAAAAAGAUGAGUAGUAAUAGAGUUUUUAAAGAGAGACUAUGGCUGGUGUGAAUAGUUAAGGUUUUAUUAUGAAUGGAGCUUUGGAGUGUAAGGAUUAGAAAAGCAGGGCUGUGCCAAAAAGGGUGGAACCGCGGAAGAGAAACUUUCGUCCCUUUA